rnacentral:lncRNA from 1 species
GAUUAUUGUAUAUUUAAAUUUCUAGAAAAUCACAAAAAAGUUGUAAAAGUUUUAGACUAAAAUGAAUAAUUUUCAGAACUAUAGAAACUUUUUUUAAUACUAAAACUUUUGGCCCAAACUGUAAAUAAAAUACAAGAAGUAUCCAGGCCAUAACAUAAUUUUCAAAACAUUAGACACACAAUGAUAUUUUGCCAUGAUGACUUUCGGCCAAGGACCUUUCUGAAAGAUUUACAAACAUAUUGAGCUAUAACAAAAUUUCUGUGGGUAAAUAUUUCCUCAAAAUUGAGCCAUAACAAAAUUUACAUAAAUAUAAGGAUCAGACGAUAAUUUCACUGCACUUCAUCUUCUUCCUCACGAUGGAGCUCCAGUUAUCUACAAUAAGCUACAGUGAACGUUGUUCGAACAACCCGAUAUUGGCCACCAAAAAUUAUGAAAAAAUCAUAUGUUUACUCCACAAACAUCACCCACAUAUUAUUUAACAACCAUUUACUCAAAUAUGCCCAAAAUCAAAAAAUCCGAAAAUAAAGAAAAAUGCCAUGGGUGAGCCAACGUUUGAUUCAUCAACAAAAUUCGCCAUGGUUUACAAAGAAAUGUAUAACCAUAAAAUCUUAUACCAAUUACUGUAAUAAAUUCGAGUUUUAUGUCCUUAAUCUUGCAUUUCUAAUUAAACACAUGCAUUGGGUAAAAAUUCAAAAUUUACCUUGAUUAGCCAUGAAUCUCAGCUUGUGGACUUGUUAAGAAGAUUCUACAGAUUGCCACUAACUGAAUCCAAACCAUUGCAACUUGUUGCCUUUCCUCAACCCAUGAUAUGAAUGAUUUGCACAGCCACUGCACACACACAAACGGCAGAGAAAGGGAGACACUCAUAGUCAUGGCC